rnacentral:tRNA from 1 species
GCCCGAAUGGCUCAGUGGUAAAGCGUCUCACUAGUACCUGUUCCAGCCAGAUCUCACGAUCAAGUUGAAAUGUGAACGCAAUGAGAAGAUCGGCGGUUCGAUUCCGCCUUUGGGCA